rnacentral:rRNA from 1 species
UACGUAGGGGGCUAGCGUUGUCCGGAAUCAUUGGGCGUAAAGCGCGUGUAGGCGGCCCGGUAAGUCCGCUGUGAAAGUCGGGGGCUCAACCCUCGAAUGCCGGUGGAUACUGUCGGACUAGAGUACGGAAGAGGCGAGUGGAAUUCCUGGUGUAGCGGUGAAAUGCGCAGAUAUCAGGAGGAACACCAAUUGCGAAGGCAGCUCGCUGGGACGUUACUGACGCUGAGACGCGAAAGCGUGGGGAGCAAACGGG